UACGUAGGGUGCAAGCGUUAAUCGGAAUUACUGGGCGUAAAGCGUGCGCAGGCGGUGAUGUAAGACAGUUGUGAAAUCCCCGGGCUCAACCUGGGAACUGCAUCUGUGACUGCAUCGCUAGAGUACGGCAGAGGGGGAUGGAAUUCCGCGUGUAGCAGUGAAAUGCGUAGAUAUGCGGAGGAACACCGAUGGCGAAGGCAAUCCCCUGGGCCUGUACUGACGCUCAUGCACGAAAGCGUGGGGAGCAAACAGG
rnacentral:rRNA from 1 species